UCCGAGAUAGCCCAACAGGUAGAGGCAGUGCUUUCAAAAGGCAUGACAGUGUGAGUUCGAAUCUCACUCUCGGAA
rnacentral:tRNA from 1 species